rnacentral:lncRNA from 1 species
AGCGAAUUCGAUCGCCCCCCCUUUCCGGAAAAUUCUCUCUCUACCCCGCCACUCCCUCUACUUUCCGCGGACGGCGAAGACGGCGGCGGCGGCGGCGGACGGCGGAAGGAGAAGGAGGAGAAGAAGAUGGAGGUUAAGCGAGAAAACGAAGAGAAACCGGGAGGGGUCUCUCGAUCAGUGAGAUGGAACCAGCUGAUGAAGCGCUCUCUCUCUAGUUUCUCUCUCUAGAGGUUGAAGGUGUGGAAACGGAGAGAGAGACUAAUCGCGUCUGUGUCCCUUCUGUAAU